rnacentral:miRNA from 1 species
UACUCAGGUGAAUAUGAUAUGUUUGUGAUGUUACUCUGAGUGUAUAUCCAAGUGUAACAUCACAAACAUAUCAUAUUCACCUGAGUA